CUCGUAGGCGGCUUGUCACGUCGGGUGUGAAAGACCGGGGCUUAACUCCGGUUCUGCAUUCGAUACGGGCUAGCUAGAGUGUGGUAGGGGAGAUCGGAAUUCCUGGUGUAGCGGUGAAAUGCGCAGAUAUCAGGAGGAACACCGGUGGCGAAGGCGGAUCUCUGGGCCAUUACUGACGCUGAGGAGCGAAAGCGUGGGGAGCGAACA
rnacentral:rRNA from 1 species